rnacentral:rRNA from 1 species
CCUACGGGAGACAGCAGUGGGGAAUAUUGCACAAUGGGGGAAACCCUGAUGCAGCGACGCCGCGUGAGUGAAGAAGUAAUUCGUUAUGUAAAGCUCUAUCAGCAGGGAAGAAAAUGACGGUACCUGAGUAAGAAGCACCGGCUAACUACGUGCCAGCAGCCGCGGGAAUACGUAGGGGGAAAGCGUUAGCCGGAUUUAAUGGGUGUAAAGGGAGCGUAGACGGCAGUGCAAGUCUGGAGUGAAAGGCGGGGGCUCAACCCCCGGACUGCUCUGGAAACUGUACGGCUGGAGUGCAGGAGAGGUAAGUGGAAUUCCUAGUGUAGCGGUGAAAUGCGUAGAUAUUAGGAGGAACACCAGUGGCGAAGGCGGCUUACUGGACUGUAACUGACGUUGAGGCUCGAAAGCGUGGGGAGCAAACAGGAUUAGAUACCCGAGUAGUC